rnacentral:lncRNA from 1 species
UCGCGGGCAGUCUUGGGGCGCUGGACCAGGAAGCCCAUGAUCUGCACCUGCUUCUGGUUGUCGAAGGCCACCAGGCGCACGUAGGCAUCGGGGAAGGCCUUGGUGCAGGCGACGAUCUCGCGCAGCACCUGCAUGGGGUCGCGGCAGCCGAACAUGGGCAGCUUCCACAUGGUCCAGUAGCGGUUGUCGUAGUACAGCUGCGGGCGCACGGGAAAUGGGAGGGAGAAGAGGUUCAGUCACCAGCGCACAGAACCACCAAAGAUGGAAUUGGGCCCCUUGCUUUUCCGUGCUGAAGCACGAGCAGGGGUAUGCGUCAGUUCCCCGCGGUGAGAUAGGCGCUGUCCCGGUGCCAAGCUAACCCAGUGCCACAGUGGACCCGUCUGGCUCUCGCUCCGACUUACGCAAGACACGCUGCCGAAGCGGAUGGCCGACUCGUUGGACACGUAGGCCUUGUCGGCCUCAGCGAACUCCAGGCAGGGGAUCCAGCCUGCAAGCGACAGCACGAAGGGGGUAAGAUAAGUGGCCGACGCAAGCAGUCCAGGGCUAUCCCAGAUAAGGGCGGAUGACAGGCAAACUAUACAGCAGACAACGAACAAGCUAAUCUCAAGCUUCGAGCGAUCGUAAUGUCGCAGUCUGCAGCUACGCCCUAGAUCGUAUUAACUAGCUCUCAAACACAGCCCAGCUACAUAUGCCCACGGCACCAAGCCGUGCUCACCGUUGGCGACGAUGUAGUCGACCUGGGCGGCGAUCUGCUCGUCGGUCAGAGGAGGCAGGUAGGAGAAGGUCUCGAACAUCCUGCGAUCACGCGAUUGACCAGUACUCGUUAGAAGUGGCAGAGCACGUGCGAUGUGAGGCAGCAGGCUGGGCCCCAAGCAAUUGCGUCGCGACUUGCAGAAUCCCUAUCCUUCGGGCUGCGCUUGCUCGUCGACUCACUUGUUGUUGACCGGGGUCCAGACCAUCAUCUGGUUGGCCUGAGCCGGGGCAGCCACGGGGGCAGCCUUGACGGCGGGCUUCAGCGCGGCCAUGGGGCGCACGCUGGAGCGGGCCGGGCGAGCCACGGCCGCGGAGACGGAGGACUUGGCAAUGACGGCGGCCAUUUUAGAUGUUUGAGAAAGUGGUCGAAUGAACGAGUAAGUUCUUGGGACAAAGACUCGGAGGUGGCCGGUCGCCGUUUUCAAUCCCCGCUCGCCGAUGACCCGUACGGCAGGCUUAUCCGACUCGUCGGCUUUCACGACCGCCCGAGCCUGCGCGCUUCAUCCGCUUCCGGAUAGCUUGCUACGAUAAUGCAUUAUUCAAUUUUACGACGCAAUGUCAUGAGCAGCGCCGGGCGGGCUUAUUUACAUGCGUCGCCUCGCUCGCCGUUGACUUGAUACUUUGGAAAUUCGGGCUCGAUUCGUUGCUACAGCCUGCCUUUUGCACACAAUGUGAACGUCGAUUCUACAUUUGUAUGUGACUGAACUUCGCGGCCCCUACUGAACGUUUCGUGCAAGCGACAUGUCGACUCACAACUUGGAGGAACGCGCGAGGGGUCCCCACACGCACUUUCAGCCUGCUUUGGCGAAAUGGACAUGAUAGGUAUAGCCAGGAUAUGGGUCUGCUAGCUCGCCUGGUGUUUUGACCGUCGAUCGGUUUCGCGUUGGGCCUUGCGGCUGCUCGCUCGCCGCGGAUGCUUCCGCACACUGCGCGGCACGUGUUAGUCUGUGCACGACGACGGUUUGUUUGUAUUGCGCCGCCAACGUUCAACGGUGGUGGUAGGUUCGAAUGUCAGAAUGUCGGGCACGGGGACCUUGGGCGCAUUGCCUACAAGCGCGUGCCUGUGUUUUUGGGGGGCAGAGAAGUGAGCCUGCCUAUUGGGUCACAAUAGCACAGAGGCGGGUGGCCAGCGUCGGGAACUGGUUCAGAACGGCUGCAGGGACAGCACCGUGCGUGCGUGUGUGUGUGGGGGGAGCCUUCAAAGUUGACGAGCUUCGCAGCGCUGGGAUGGACUGGCAUUGCGUGCUUGAGUUUGCGUCCCGUGAGAACCCUGCAGUUUAUGGCGGAGACAGGGAAGAGGGAAUGGGAUCGCGCCGGUGCAGGGAAAGGGCACGAAUCUGAGGUUACGGUAUCUGGGGGGAGGUGCCCAUGUGGGAGGGGAAGCCUAACUGCCUGUCUGGGUGCAGACCAGGAAUGGCAACACGUGAACGGUUAGUAGAGAGCUGUGUGCUGUUGGGCGCUCUCGGCAAGGGGCGUGGGAGGGGGCUGGGUUGGUGGGCGGCUGUCCGCACAGUGCCUAGCAGUGCGCACUCAGGCCCUUCGCAGACCGAAGAGGGCGCCAGGGCCUAUGCGCGCGUGGCUUGGCGUGAGGUUCUUGCUGUUGGCGUCAGGCGCCGCAAAAGGCCGGGUGGCUCUGCAGUGUCCUGCUCGCUUGGCGUGCGGCAAAGUGGUUCAGUCAGCGAGCGCAGUGUAUGCGUGUGUGCGUGUAUGCGUGUGCGUGCGUGUGUGUGUGUGUGUGUGUGUGUGUGUGUGUGUGUGUGUGGUUGCUGCGGAGAGGGCACGCAGCGACACGAGAUUGCCAUGCAGUGGUGCAAGCUGCUGGGGUCGGGUAAACGGGGUGGGAAAGUUGGUGAUGGUGGAAUGUUCUUGUGGCACGAACUGGCCUUGUGCGUAUUCGUUCGCCCCGUUCACUCUGGUCCACCAAUCCCACAGUCACUGCACUUAAAUGCCUAAAAGCCCCUGCUACGGUGCGGACAGGGUAAGGCCACGGCAGGUCUAAGUCCAUAUGCGCCCGUAGAGGUUCGAGUGCGUUAACCGGUCGCAAGGUGUUCACAACAUGUUGAUGUGUUGACAACAUGGCUGUGGUCAAGACGUGCCCUGCGAACUUCCCGUGUUUACAUGUUAAUAGAGCUCGCUGACAGCAGUCAUUUGACACCAUUAUGGAAGAAAACAGAGGGGAUUUAGGGGGUGUACGGCACGGUAUGGCACGGUCGGUCGUCGGUCCGGGGGGUCGGGGGGUUCUGCAGGGUGGGGCCUGGAACUAUUGUUCGUACACCCCCGCCUGGCUCCCCUGCUCCCCCUGACUAACCCCUGACCUCUGGCUUUCUUCGCUUUCCUUUCAGUGUCACCAAUUCUCAUGAGUGGGGGCGCACCCCGAAAUAAGCGGGUACGGUGCUUCAGUUCAGUGCUUGCCACGGCCUCAAGAGCCCCAAACCACGUGCACCGAAAUUCGCUUGCACUCCAAAUGCACUGGGAAGCCAGUAGCAGCGCGCUCUCAAAUGCUGGCAUGUGUCUCUCUCUGUCCAGAGCCUGAAUGCGCCAAGUCUGCUACGGUAGGAGGGUGCAACCCGUGGCCCGCCUUGAACCGCGCUUGCACACACAGCUGGAUUGCUGCUGGCAUGACCGUGUGAAAGAGGUACAGGCAGCCGGGCAAGUCCCAGCGGGCAGGUUGGUGUAGGCUAUGCCCCAUAACAGGCCCGUGCAUGCUGCCACGGACUUCUCGCCAGGAAUGUAAGUCCCGAUGCUAGACAAUUACUCCAGCAGCUGCAUGCCGCCAUCUUCAGUACUCGGUAUCCCUUGGUGCACGCAAGUCAAGGAUCAGUCCCAGGGCUCACCCUGGAGCAAUGCAGCCUGCGUGUGCACCUGCGAUGGAGCCGCGGCCUGCGGUAUUGGCUGCCCGAUUACGAAGCUGCGGGUGGGGGCAGUUGGCACGCAUUCCGCCACAGACCCCGCGAGCCUAGCCGCACCCAAGCUCUAAGCGGCCUAGACCGUGACCAAAGGCGAAGAAGCCGCGGCCAUCCCUGCGCUCAGAUUGCAUUGGUUACAAGAGGGACCUGCUGACGCAGUUCAUGGCUUCAUGCGCUCAGAGCCCGAGCCCUGAGCGGCAGCAAAAGCAGAAGCCACGCUACGUGUGCUAGCUACGACCAAUGCCUUGUACAGCUCUCCUCGGCUGCGCUCUUCGGCUGCGCUCCUCGGCUGCGCGGGACAGGGGACUCCGUGCAACCACUAUUGCUUAUAGCCUGCACCAGUCAUUGACGAGUGUUGCGGAACUAAUGCGUACGUAGACCAGAGCGGAAGGCGGAGUGGGCUUGCAGGCGGCACGAGAGUAGGCAGUCAGUAGCGCAAGUUGCGAAUUCCCAUGUUACCUCGUAACCGACGGUAAACGCUGUGGACGGUCGCGCCCAUGGCUGGCUGACGGAAGCUGGCUGCGGUAUUGGGAUGGCUGGGCUGGAUGACGCCGGCCGGGCUGGCGUUGGGACUACCAGAAAGGAUGCGCCCGAAACCAACCUGGAGAACACCAGCGCCACCGGUGCCCAGCACGACAUGUAAGGGAGGGAGGGAGGGACAGGAGGCGUGAUGCACUGCAGCGUAGAAGCUGCAGUCAUGGGCACAGCUUGUACCAUACAGCACGGUCAUCAAGGACACAAUGCCGGAACGGCAUCAUACGAGGCGGGGUUGGGAGCUGCAGGAAGUGGGCAGCGGGGCAGAAUCAAAGGUUUGCAUCGUUUAGAACAGGUGCGGAACACGCGCCAGCGCCAGCGCGGAGGACCCCAAGUAAGGCCUUUACUCACCAAUGUACGUUUUGUACACCCAAUCUCGCCCCCUAUCGACGUUGGCACUAGGUAGCUGGCUAUCAUUCUAUGCAGAUUAAGCAAAGGGGCACCGGGAACAACUGACUCAUGUUCGUCACUGCAGGUUACUGCAAAUGCUGUCUCCACCUUUGCUGCACGGUUCCGUUUCGUCACGUUUGCUGGUGUUGCUACCCGCCGUUCUUUAGUGUGUAACUGAUCUGCGAACCGAGUCCCCUUCAGCUGAUGAACCCCGCAGCAACUUUUCCAAAAGCGCUUCAAAUACGCCCAGCCCGCCCAUGGAGAAAGAGGCCAAAAUCAACGGAGGAUCGUUACAACCAACAAAAUUGCAAAACUCCUCCGCUUUUUACGUGUUGAAAAAGACUGAUCAGCACGAAACGGGGAGCUAAGCUACCGCUUCAGCACUUGAGAGCAGUAUCUUCCAUCCACCGCCGUUCGUCAGGGGGCAAGGCUCAGAUCAACGAGCGCCUCCAUUUACACGGAGCGCUUGUUGGCGGGCUGCCAGUCGCGGGCAGACUUGGGGCGCUGGACCAGGAAGCCCAUGAUCUGCACCUGCUUCUGGUUGUCGAAGGCCACCAGGCGCACGUAGGCAUCGGGGAAGGCCUUGGUGCAGGCGACGAUCUCGCGCAGCACCUGCAUGGGGUCGCGGCAGCCGAACAUGGGCAGCUUCCACAUGGUCCAGUAGCGGUUGUCGUAGUACA